UACGGAGGGGGCAAGCGUUAUCCGGAUUCACUGGGUUUAAAGGGUGCGUAGGUGGGUCUGCAAGUCAGUGGUGAAAUCUCCGGGCUCAACCCGGAAACUGCCAUUGAUACUACAGGUCUUGAAUUUUCUGGAGGAUAGCGGAAUAUGUCAUGUAGCGGUGAAAUGCUUAGAUAUGACAUAGAACACCAAUUGCGAAGGCAGCUAUCUACAGGAAUAUUGACACUGAGGCACGAAAGCGUGGGGAUCAAACAGG
rnacentral:rRNA from 1 species